GUCCACGCCGUAAACGAUGAAUACUAGGUGUCGGGGCCGUAUAGGCUUCGGUGCCGCCGCAAACGCAGUAAGUAUUCCACCUGGGGAGUACGUUCGCAAGAAUGAAACUCAAAGGAAUUGACGGGGACCCGCACAAGCGGUGGAGCAUGUGGUUUUAAUUCGAAGCAACGCGAAGAACCUUACCAGGUCUUGACAUCCUUCUGACCACUCCGUAAUGGGAGUUUUCCUUCGGGACAGAAGAGACAGGUGGUGCAUGGUUGUCGU
rnacentral:rRNA from 1 species